rnacentral:rRNA from 1 species
CGCGGCCUAUCAGCUUGUUGGUGGGGUAAUGGCCUACCAAGGCGACGACGGGUAGCCGGCCUGAGAGGGUGGACGGCCACACUGGGACUGAGACACGGCCCAGACUCCUACGGGAGGCAGCAGUGGGGAAUAUUGCACAAUGGGCGCAAGCCUGAUGCAGCGACGCCGCGUGGGGGAUGAAGGCCUUCGGGUUGUAAACCUCUUUCAGUAGGGAAGAAGCGAAAGUGACGGUACCUGCAGAAGAAGCGCCGGCUAACUACGUGCCAGCAGCCGCGGUAAUACGUAGGGCGCAAGCGUUAUCCGGAAUUAUUGGGCGUAAAGAGCUCGUAGGCGGUUUGUCGCGUCUGCCGUGAAAGUCCGGGGCUUAACCCCGGAUCUGCGGUGGGUACGGGCAGACUAGAGUGAUGUAGGGGAGACUGGAAUUCCUGGUGUAGCGGUGAAAUGCGCAGAUAUCAGGAGGAACACCGAUGGCGAAGGCAGGUCUCUGGGCAUUAACUGACGCUGAGGAGCGAAAGCAUGGGGAGCGAACAGGAUUAGAUACCCUGGUAGCCCAUGCCGUAAACGUUGGGCACUAGGUGUGGGGGACAUUCCACGUUUUCCGCGCCGUAGCUAACGCAUUAAGUGCCCCGCCUGGGGAGUACGG